rnacentral:rRNA from 1 species
GAUGAACGCUGGCGGCGUGCCUAAUACAUGCAAGUCGAGCGAACGGACGAGAAGCUUGCUUCUCUGAUGUUAGCGGCGGACGGGUGAGUAACACGUGGAUAACCUACCUAUAAGACUGGGAUAACUUCGGGAAACCGGAGCUAAUACCGGAUAAUAUUUUGAACCGCAUGGUUCAAAAGUAAAAGACGGUCUUGCUGUCACUUAUAGAUGGAUCCGCGCUGCAUUAGCUAGUUGGUAAGGUAACGGCUUACCAAUGCAACGAUGCAUAGCCGACCUGAGAGGGUGAUCGGCCACACUGGAACUGAGGCACGGUCCAGACUCCUACGGGAGGCAGCAGUAGGGAAUCUUCCGCAAUGGGCGAAAGCCUGACGGAGCAACGCCGCGUGAGUGAUGAAGGUCUUCGGAUCGUAAAACUCUGUUAUUAGGGAAGAACAUAUGUGUAAGUAACUGUGCACAUCUUGACGGUACCUAAUCAGAAAGCCACGGCUAACUACGUG